AGGCUCCUUUUUUUCUUCUUCUUCCUCAUUAUCUUCGUUAAGAUAAUGAGAGAAAGAGGGAGAUGAGUGUGGAGUGGGAGAUUAGACGAUGAUAUAUUUUUUUAUGAUGCAUAAAAAAAAAUUACAAAAGAGGGGGUGGGAGAUUAAUGGAAAAGAGUUACAAAAGAGAUAGGGUGAGAGAUUAAUGGAGGAGGGGAGUGAAUUAAAGUUAUAAAGCUCACUCAUUGAUGGAAUAUUAAUAACGUGCAUAUAAUUAAAUGUUGCACCUUACAUGUAAUUAGAUGAGUGGGGAUGAAGGGUUGGGCGGUGAGAAGAGAAGAAGGCGGAAUGAUUUAAAGUUGGAUUUAAAGUUGCAUGUAAAUGUAAUUAGAGGAGUGAGAAGGUGAAAGGUUGGGUGUUGAGAAGAUGAGAAAGUGGUUUGAUUUAAAGUUGGGCUAUAAGAAUAAAGGAUAACAUGCCACGUGGUAAAAAAUAUUGUGGCUACAUAUAAGAUCAGUUGUAGACUUCCGAGGAUGCUGAAGAUUGGUGAAUAAAACUUUAGAGGAGAGCUCUCCAAUAAUAUCUGAUCCAUUGCAACGUAUUAAUUUUUUCUCCAUCCAACAAUUUAUUAGGCUCUCCAACAAUAUCUGAUCCAUUGCAACGUAUUAAUUUUUUCUCCAUCCAACAAUUUAUUAGGUAUUUUUAAUAUUAAAAUCUAAAAUUUUAAAUUAUAAA
rnacentral:lncRNA from 1 species